AGGGACUACACACCGGUAGCGGUGAGGGACGCAUGGAAUCGCUGCAGGGGCCCGUCCACCGAAGCAACGCUGAACUUAAAAAGAGCAGUGUUCGAUCACACCUAUGGAAUUGGCCAGGUUUUGAUGGCAAGCUAGGAACCCUGCAUUGAGGCAACACGCCUGGAAGUUGGAAGCCCAGAUAACUGAUGAGCUGUUACCCACCUGCUCUGCUCUGACCGGGCUGGUAGGAGGCUUUGCAGCCGUCCUUUUACUUUUUGUCUCUUUGGCCUUCAUAAAAAUCUUCACUCCUUUCCUCCACUCCUGAACCUCUGGACACUGGAUUACUGGGCCAUUGGACUGUUGUAUGUUUUUGGGACUCUCGAUAUAUGAGAUGAAUGUGUUUUGUAAAUUGAGCUCAUUGAAAUGUAAAUUUGUAAAUUAGUGUUGUGAAUUGUAUUGUUCUGGUUUUUCACUUUAUAAUAUAUGGUACCGCCACUGCUGCAAAUUGUGUGCUCGCCUCUUUUCCAUCUCACUCCCAGAGCCGAAAUCUGGAUUUUUCUGAGUCUAGCCUAGAAAUAACAAUUACAAUUAAAGUGUCUAAAGCUAAUAUUAAAUGUACUAGCGCAUUGUACACGCUACACUGGGCUCAUUAGCACAUCGUAUGUGAGGCAGCUUCCCUCCAGCGCAAGAGAAUCAGGCCAUGUGCCAACAGUGUAGUAAAAGCAACUAUGCUGUGCCCCCCCCCAGAGGGCCAAAAUAUCCCUUCUGAAAUAUCAAUACCAAAAGAUCUGGAGUUUGAGAUUUGAGUUUCCAAUACGACGCAAGGGGAAGCUAGGACAAAGCCAGAACGUGUGAAUCAACCUUGCACCCCCCCCCCAGCCCACACCUGUCACAUGCGGGACGGGUAAAUCUGCGGAGAGGUUUCAGCUAAUUUAACUUUAGAAUAAUGCACUCCGAGCGCCACUUUCAAGGGGAUCAAAGGGUGUCCAGCACACAUUGAUGAUGGGUGCACCCCCCUUCCCCCUUUAACGCCGUCCAUCAUCCAGCAGACCUGCCAGCCUCACUUUGAUGGGUCACUCCAUUGGGCGGAAUGAUAACACCACAGAGCAAACGGACUCCUUGGUUUCACACAAUGUUGUACAAAAACUUUUUGGCCUCAAAAACCGCAUCAUAAAUUUUCCCUCGCAUAUAUCGGAUGGCCGCAUCGUGGCGCU